UGUGUGGUUUCCUGGAGAGUCCAGGAUGUGGACUUGGAACUCUGGGAUUGAGGGGCUGUGGUUUGUCAGAGAUCAGCUGUGAUUAUCUGGCAGCAGCACUGAAGUCCAACCCCUCCCAUCUGAGAGAGCUGCACUUGACCUACAACAACCAGCAGGAUUCAGGAGUGAAGCAGCUGUGUGGCUUUCUUGCGAGUCCAGAAUGUGCACUUGAAACUCUGAGAUUAAAGGACUGUGGUUUGUCAAAGAUCAGCUGUGAUCAUCUGGCAGCAGCACUGAAG